CCGUGAGAUUGUGACCUGAGCUGAAGUCCUGCGAUUAACACCCGAGCCACCCGGGUGCCCUUAACUCUUCCCUCUUGAUAUUCGCAUCCCGUGCACUUUUCUCCACCUUGAUGCACGCUGCCCAGUACGAUAUUAUGACUGAGAGAACAUGGAAACGACGAGGUGUUACUUUGGAGGCUAGGUCAUAGAAGGCAUUGCCAGUUGUGCCUUCCUCUGUCCUGGAUCACUGGCUCUGGGGAAGACAGUUGUCACGAACACAGUUAAGCAGCCUCGUGAAGAGAUCUUUGUGGUGAAGAACUGAGGCCUCCUGUCAACAGCCAUCACCAGAUUGCUAGCUCUGUCCACAUUCCAUUUUGGAAUUGGCUCCUCCUGCCCCCACCAAGCCUUCAGAUGAGCACAGCCCUGGCGGACACGUCCCGGGAAACCCUGAGCCACAACUACCCAGCUGGUGAUUUGUAGCUCUGGCUCGGUCCCCAGGGAGCUGAAUCAUGGUGCCUUUGCUAACGAUGCCUCAUGCGGAUACCACGUGCUCCCUCUUCACCCAGAAUGCCUACCUCGGGAUUUGGGAUCUCCGACUACACUGGACAACCUUGCCCAUAACUCCGUGGCCCCUGACCCUGGCCUCCAGAUGCGGGACCUCCGUGUUCUUCACCAUCUGCUUUUACUCCAGAUCUUCAGGUGGAUGGAGUCUUACAGCCGUGGUGUUAGGAUGAGCAGAUGAUGUCACGUGACAUACCCAAUUUCAGAAGCUAGAGAGGAAAUAUUCAUUAAACUUCAAGUGUGAAUUGACACAGGCAUCAAAGGAAAUAGCACGUAAAAGAAACAGCACAGAGUUCCCCACUGAUUUUCUACAACAUGAGAACAAUUAUUCUACAGACUCCGUUAUAACUGCUCGGACAUUACCCGUUGCUCAGCUGGGAGAGCUCGGCCUGCAAGGGUGAGUUACUGUGAUAACACGAAGACAUUCUCUCGUGUUUAGAAAGAGAAACAGACAUGGGUCACAUAAUGGGGGAUAAUUUGGAUGAGGAAAGAUGUACUGAAUGCUAAAUGCUUUAGCUGUGUUGAGGGCACCUUGAAAGCAAAGAUGAAGUAGUUAUGUCUCAUUAUCUUUAAGUCAAGUAGUAGGAGGUAGAAUUUUGGGAUUCUAAACUGUCAUUGUAGCUCAUGCCAAAGCCGUUGAGAGCCCAGGAACAGUCGCAUCGAUUUCCCAACAGUCUUGCUAUGAGCUGUUGAAUGGGACUCCAAUCUUAGGGCAACUUUCUGCCUGGUCGUGUUGUGCUUUGAGAGGGGUGCUGCUUAAAACACUGCGUACAAGGAGCCCAGACGUGCAUGGUCCCAGUUGGACAGACUGACUGGAACAGCAGUGAGAGCCGUGUAGGGUAGCUGUGAGCAGAACCUCUUCAGCCAUCUCCGUUUCCAGUGGUGGUGAUGGUACCUGGUCUCUUCCCUUUCCCUGAGCUGUGAAAGAGAAAGAAGACACACACAUCGCUGGAGAGUUUAUGAUUUACUUGAAGACUUGCCUGCGUUUUCUAUUUAGGACUCUGUUUUGACCGAGAGUGUUGGUAACGUGGAGUUAAACUGAAUCGUUGUAGGCAGUGCAUGCUUUUCUUGGCGAGAGUGUAUUUUAGGAUCUACGGGUAUCCCGUUGAACUAGA